GUUUGCACUCAUCGGGGAAGGGUGAGAACCUUCGACUAAGGUUCGAUUCGAGCGAAAGCGAGAGAACGUUGCCACAGGCAACGGAGCGAAGCGACGAAUAAUCCUUCCCCCACCACCA
rnacentral:sRNA from 1 species